GGGGAUAGAUGAAAUAAGUAUAAAUAAUAAAAUUAAUUUUAAGGUUAAAAAUAAAUAAUGGGGGUUAAAGUAUUUUUAAUAGAAAAUAAUUUAAAAUUUUAUAGUAAAAUAGUAUUGUAAAAGAAAUUUGAAAUAAAUUAAAAAAAAUUAAUAAAAAAGAAAGUUUAAUUUAUUGUAUCUUGUGUCUCAGAGUUUAUUAAAUAUAUUUUUUAAAAAAAAAAAUCUCGAAUUUAAAAGAGUUAAUUAAUUAAAAAAUUUAAUGUUACAUAAUUAUUUUAAAUAAUUAAUUAGAAAUGAAAUGUUAAUCGUUUUUAAAAAUAUCUAGUUAUUUUAGAAAAAAAUUUAAUUUUUAAUUUAAAUAAUUUUAUUAUUUAUUAAAAAAAAAUUAUAAAAAUUUAAAAUUAAAUAUAUUAAGGGAUAAGCUUUAAAAUUCAAAUAUUUAUAAUAAUUUUAAUAAAAAUUAAUUAAAAUUUUUAAGAUUUAUAUUGUUUAAAAAUUAUAUUUUAUUAUAAAAAAUUUUAAUAAAAAUAAAAUUUAAUAAAAAAAUUUAAAUUUAUAUAAAAUAAUAAUUUUUAAUAAAAUAAAAUUAGAAAUUAUGAUAAAAUUAGUAUAAAAUAAGAAAAAAAAAAUAAUAAAUAAAAAUUGAAAAUAAGUAUAAGGAAUUCGGCAAAAAUAAAUAUUCACUUGUUUAUCAAAAACAUGUCUUUUUGAUAAUAAUUUAAAGUCUAAUCUGCCCACUGAUAAAAUAUUAAAGGGCUGCAGUAUUAUGACUGUACAAAGGUAGCAUAAUCAUUAGUUUUUUAAUUGGGAACUUGUAUGAAAGAUUUAAUGAAAUAUUAACUGUCUCUUAUUUAUUGUUAGAAAUUUAUUUUUUAGUAAAAAAACUAAAAUAUGUUUAAAAGACGAGAAGACCCUAUAGAGUUUUAUAUUUAUAUUUUUUUUAUUUUGUAUGAAAAUUAAUAUUAAAUUAAAUGUAAAUAUUAUAUUGGGGUGAUAGAAAAAUUAAACUAACUUUUUUUGAAAGAUUUACAUUAAUAAAUGAAUAAUUGAUCCAUUAUUAGUGAUUAUAAGAAAAAAUUACCUUAGGGAUAACAGCGUAAUAUUUUUUUUUAGUUCAUAUAAAAAAGAAAGUUUGCGACCUCGAUGUUGGAUUAAGAUAAAAUUUAAAUGCAAAAGUUUAAAAUUUUGAUCUGUUCGAUCAUUAAAAUCUUACAUGAUCUGAGUUCAAACCGGUGUGAGCCAGGUUGGUUUCUAUCUUUAGAUAAAUAAAAUAUUUUAGUACGAAAGGAUCAAAUAUUUAAAAUAAUUUUAAUUAAAAGAAUUUUAAUAAAUAUAUUAUAAAUUUAA
rnacentral:rRNA from 1 species